rnacentral:lncRNA from 1 species
GAAUAAUCAUACAAGCAACAAUAUUUCAAUUGAAUACAUGAAUACGGGAAAUCUGUCACUGCCGAAGCAUAAGCUCUUACAUGAUGAAAAUCUGUCACUGCCGAAGCAUAAGCUCUUACAUGAUGAAUCAUAUAGGAAAAAUACAAGGGAAGAAUGAAGCCAAUAGUACAUACUAUAAGUCUAUAACACAUUAAGUUUCAACAAACAAACAACUUCUUU